ensembl:lncRNA
GCUGACUGUUCUCACACUCGUAGGCCUAUCCACUCGCCUGGGCUACUACUAGCAUACAACAAAAAUGCUUAGUUAUUUGACAUACCAUGUUAGCCUCCGGAGUUGCUUGUCGUACAAGGAACUGUGUCAGAGCUCCCUGACUUCUCCUCUGGGUCUCGUUCUUCUUGUGUGCUUCACCGGAAGCAUGUUGUUUUACGUCUGUCAGACCACCGUGGCUGACCAAAAAUUGACGUUUGCAUACUGUACAGUUCACCUUGAACUCAUCUUCUCGAAUACUAUAAUUCUAUCCAUUUAAAGUCCCUUUCCCACUCUUUUCGGUAUUUUGCUUUUCUUUUUCCUUUUUAUCGUUUUGGCCUGGGGAGCCAUUCUUGUUGGUGUUUUUAGUACACUUUUUACCUGAAGCCGGGCGAGGCCGCUUCAGGCAGCAGCAGAGCCAAUCACUGUGAAGAAUGUGUCCUAGCAACCACACAAAUCUGCUGCCAUUGGUCGGUACUCAUGACAGCCGAUUCCGUUUUUUACGGGACCGUUGACAAGUCUAGCCACACCACAGUGAGUGACGGAAGAGAAGAAUCGCUCUCAUUCUUCCACGACCCGAAAUACGGGACAAAGUGCUUCCCGUAUCAGUUCAUUACGUCUUUUAGUUUCCAAAUAAGGGACAAUUCCGUUUUUUACGGGACGGUUGGCAAGUGUAAUUCACGGCGAUGCGUGUUUCGUACGUAGUCAAGUCCAAAACGUAAGUUUAAUAUGUCUUAAAGCCUGUACUUUGGUUACAUAAAUGUUGGCUUCAUAUUGAAACAUUUUGUGUGUAAGUUUUAUAUGUGUCUUACACCGGUCGCAUUUCUAUGCCAUUUUAUGUCUGUGAAUAGUGUAUGAAGCAAGCUAACGGCUGACCCAUGAAUGUCCGGUGAAUGCAACUUUUCCCUCUCAAUUUACCCUCGUCUUGCACCCUUGGCAAGCGGAGCGAGGGAUAAGAAGAAUAGUGUGGAAAAUUACUUUCGCAAGAAAAAUACAACCACCUGCACCCCCCAGGAGGCUGCCAUACUUACUGAGAGUGUCUUAUCAAUGAUUUGUAAAGACAUGAGGCCGAUUUCUGUGGUUGAGGGCGAGGGAUUUAAAGAAAUGCUGACGUACUACAAAAGCACUAAGAAUAUCUGCUUUGAGGUAACUGCUUGCCUCUGUAUGAUUACAUUUAGAUUUAAGACCGCUCCUGACUUACUUCUGACCAAUCAGGACAUGUCAUCCCUGAAAGGUUUGGGGUAUCUAUCUGGCCUGAGGGGGGGGUCGUUUCCAGUUUUACCGCUAUGUUAAGAUGUACAAGCUUACACUGUUUGAUUGUAUGCAAACCAACUGUAGGACUUUGAUAGAUCUGGCAAAUUAUAACGUUGUCUACUGCUUACAUCAGCAACUUGAUGCUGAUGUAAGCUGUCAAAAGCAAAAUUAAAAGUGUUAUGGAUUGGUGAUGAGUGCCACGCAGCAACAUGUGCAGGGUAAUGUCCAUUUGAGAGGGAGGGUUUUUUUUUGGGUUCGAGUUUCUAAAUUUUUCUCUCCUCCUUGUCAAAAAAAAACAAAAAAACAAGUAUAAUGUUUAAGACUUGACUCGUUGAUGAUACAUUUUCCUUGAAAAACCCAGCUUACCUUAUAUAUUUGGUGACCUUGGCUGUGUCCAUGAUCACUAAUUACACGCUAUAUGUAUGGUAUAUAUUAUACAUAAUCCUCCAUAUAUUGGGAAUUUUAUGUAUAUGCAUUACGCUAUUAAGGCACAUAUUUCGAUGUGAAGUGUGGUGUGGUGCGAUGUGGUGCCACAUGUGGACGAUGUUGCAAAAUGUAUUCACCUGAGAGUUAUGUGUUAGUAUAAUCACACCCCUGUGCUUAUUUGAAUGGCCCAAGUGUGCUCCAUCUGAGGCAGAAAUUGUGAGAAAUGGCACAACCAGC